UACGUAGGUGGCAAGCGUUGUCCGGAAUUAUUGGGCGUAAAGAGCUUGUAGGCGGUUUGUCGCGUCUGCUGUGAAAAUCCGGGGCUCAACCCCGGACUUGCAGUGGGUACGGGCAGACUGGAGUGUGGUAGGGGAGACUGGAAUUCCUGGUGUAGCGGUGAAAUGCGUAGAUAUCCGGAGGAACACCGGUGGCGAAGGCGGCUUCCUGGACCGACACUGACGCUGAGGCGCGAAAGCUAGGGGAGCAAACGGG
rnacentral:rRNA from 1 species